UACGGAGGGUGCGAGCGUUGUCCGGAAUCAUUGGGCGUAAAGGGCGCGUAGGUGGCCCGGCAAGCGUGCGGUGAAAGUCGGGGGCUCAACCCCCGAUCGGCCGUGCGAACUGCGGGGCUGGAGCACUGUAGAGGCAGGCGGAAUUCCGGGUGUAGCGGUGGAAUGCGUAGAGAUCCGGAAGAACACCGGUGGCGAAGGCGGCCUGCUGGGCAGUAGCUGACACUGAGGCGCGACAGCGUGGGGAGCAAACAGGG
rnacentral:rRNA from 1 species